rnacentral:rRNA from 1 species
GAUGAACGCUGGCGGCGUGCCUAAUACAUGCAAGUCGAGCGAACAGACGAGGAGCUUGCUCCUCUGACGUUAGCGGCGGACGGGUGAGUAACACGUGGAUAACCUACCUAUAAGACUGGGAUAACUUCGGGAAACCGGAUCUAAUACCGGAUAAUAUAUUGAACCGCAUGGUUCAAUAGUGAAAGACGGUUUUGAUGUCACUUAUAGAUGGUUCCGCGCCGCAUUAGCUAGUUGGUAAGGUAACGGCUUACCAAGGCUACGAUGCGUAGCCGACCUGAGAGGGUGAUCGGCCACACUGGAACUGAGACACGGUCCAGACUCCUACGGGAGGCAGCAGUAGGGAAUAUUGCGCAAUGGGCGAAAGCCUGACGGAGCAACGCCGCGUGAGUGAUGAAGGUCUUCGGAUCGUAAAGCUCUGUUAUUAGGGAAGAACAACUGUGUAAGUAUAUCUGGCCGUUUUGACGGUACCUAAACAGAAAGCAACGGCUAACUUCGUG